AGCAGCCGCGGUAAUUCCAGCUCCAAUAGCGUAUAUUAAAGUUGCUGCAGUUAAAAGCUCGUAGUUGAAUUUCGGGAUCAAUAUGUUGGUCGUGCCUUGGUACGUACUAGCUCAUUGGUUUCUCCCUUCUGACGAACCAUGAUGUCAUUAAUUUGAUGUCAUGGGGAAUCAGGACUGUUACUUUGAAAAAUUAGAGUGUUUAAAGCAGGCUCGCGCUUGAAUACAUUAGCAUGGAAUAAUGAAAUAGGACAUUUGAUUCUAUUUUGUUGGUUUCUAGGAUCGAUGUAAUGAUUAAUAGGGAUAGUUGAGGGCAUUAGUAUUCAAUUGCAGAGUGAAAUUCUUGGAUUUAU
rnacentral:rRNA from 1 species